rnacentral:rRNA from 1 species
UGAGUGCGAGCUGCUACGGCAGCGAAGUUGGUGACGUCAAGCUUCCAAGAAAAGCCCUAUACCCGUUAAGGCAUCAUGGCCUGUACCCGAAACCGACACAGGUGGGGUGGUAGAGAAUAUCGAGGGGCGCGAGGUAACUCUCUCUAAGGAACUCGGCAAAAUGGCCCCGUAACUUCGGGAGAAGGGGUGCCACCGCAAGGUGGUCGCAGUGAAGAGGCCCAGGCGACUGUUUACCAAGAACACAGGUCUCCGCUAAGUCGCAAGACGAUGUAUGGGGGCUGACGCCUGCCCAGUGCCGGAAGGUUAAGGAAGCUGGUCAGCGCAAGCGAAGCUGGCGACUGAAGCCCCGGUGAACGGCGGCCGUAACGAUAACGGUCCUAAGGUAGCGAAAUUCCUUGUCGGGUAAGUUCCGACCCGCACGAAAGGCGUAACGAUCUGGGCGCUGUCUCGGAGAGAGGCUCGGCGUAAUAGAAUUGUCUGUGAAGAUGCGGACUACGUGCACCCGGACAGAAAGACCCUAUGAAGCUUUACUGUAGCUUGGUAUUGUGCCCGGGCUCUGAAUGCGCAGGAUAGGUAGGAGGCCUUGAUCAUCGGCUUGCGGGUCGAUGUGAGCCAACGGUGAGAUACCACUCUUUCAGAGCUAGGGUUCUAACAGUCACCCGUUAUCCGGGGACUGGACAGUAUCAGGUGGGCAGUUUGACUGGGGCGGUCGCCUCCUAAAAGGUAACGGAGGCGCGCAAAGGUCUGCUCAGGCUGGUUGGAAAUCAGCCGACGAGUGUAAAAGCAGAAGCAGGCUUGACUGUGAGACCUACAAGUCGAACAGGGAGGAAACUCGGCUUUAGUGAUCCGACGGUUCUGCGUGGAAGGGCCGUCGCUCAACGGAUAAAAGUUACUCUAAGGAUAACAGGCUGAUCUCCCCCAAGAGUUCACAUCGACGGGGAGGUUUGGCACCUCGAUGUCGGCUCAUCGCAACCUGGGGCUGAAGUCGGUCCCAAGGGUUGGGCUGUUCGCCCAUUAAAGCGGUACGCGAGCUGGGUUCAGAACGUCGUGAGACAGUUCGGUCCAUAUCCGGUGCAUGCGCAGGAAUAUUGAGAGGAGUUCUCCCUAGUACGAGAGGACCGGGAGGAACGCACCUCUGGUGUACCAGUUAUCGUGCCAACGGUAAACGCUGGGUAGCCAUGUGCGGAGAGGAUAACCGCUGAAAGCAUCUAAGUGGGAAGCCCACCUCAAGAUGAGUAUUCCCAUGGCGUUAGCCAGUAAGGUCACGGGAAGAACACCCGUUGAUAGGCUCUAUGUGGAAGCGCAGUAAUGCGUGAAGCAGAGGAGUACUAAUAGACC